UAUGUACCCCCUCCGUUCGGAAUUACUCGUCCAAAAAAUAAAUGUAUCUAGAUGUAUUUUAGUUGUAGAUACAUCUAUUUUUAUCCAUUUUUGUGACAAGUAAUUCCGAACGGAGGGAGUAUGUA
rfam:Triticum aestivum genome assembly, contig: Triticum_aestivum_CS42_TGACv1_scaffold_031417_1BL